rnacentral:tRNA from 1 species
UCCUGACUGGCUCAGUCAGUAGAGCAUGAGACUCUUAAUCUCAGGGUCAUGAGUUCGAGCCCUAUGCUGGGUG